rnacentral:other from 3 species
GAAAACCUGGGAUGUUCGAUACCUCUUGUAAUUUUGAACCUACAAUACUUUAAACGGGAGACUUAUUAUCUCUGUAAUAUGUCAUGCCUCCAGGGUAUGCGUGGAAGACAGAAAAGCAGAUGCGGUCACCCACCUAGCAGAAUGCUAGGAGUCAAAAUACAGGAGCCGGCAUUUUGGGCAUCAU